rnacentral:rRNA from 1 species
UACGUAGGGUCCGAGCGUUAAUCGGAAUUACUGGGCGUAAAGCGUGCGCAGGCGGUUUUGUAAGCCAGAUGUGAAAGCCCCGGGCUUAACCUGGGAAUGGCAUUUGGGACUGCAAGGCUGGAGUACGGCAGAGGGAGGUGGAAUUCCACGUGUAGCAGUGAAAUGCGUAGAGAUGUAGAGGAACACCGAUGGCGAAGGCAGCCUCCUGGGCUAGUACUGACGCUCAUGCACGAAAGCGUGGGGAGCAAACAGG